ACCAGGCUGUUGCUAGAACCCUGCCUGGCACUGUUGAAGGCCAAUACAACUCAUUAGUUUUUAUCUUCUCUUUUGAUACAAAUAGGUUAUUAGGCUAAACGGUUCCAAUAUUAUAUUAUAUGUGAAGCUGGUGAUUGCAGUGCACUAUCCGUUUGAGUCAAUCAACUCCACCUAGUAGCAAACUCUGCACACUCUGCACACGCAUCAGAAAACAUGCUGGAUAGAAUCCUUGGAAUACGUAACGCAGCUGUUUUUGCAGCAACCAAGUUAAUGUUACGCAGAGACAACAACGAACAACAGGAAGAAAUGUUACGUGAAGACAUUAGUGAACGUCACAUGUUUGAAAUACUACGCCUGCCAAUGUGCGAAAUUCUUAUUAAAGGGCACAGGAUUCGAUCAAUGAAAUCUACACAUGGAAACGUUAGCUAUUUUGAUAUCGAUAACACGAAACGCUAAAGAAGCGAGGCAAUUGGAUUUAACGUUUUACGGAUAUCAGAGGAAUCAUGUGCCACAAGGGAACACCGGAAACGGUCCUCAAUGGCUACGAGCAGAUACCACGCAAGUGGCUACGAUCGCAACCUGUUUCACUCUCAGAAGCCAGCGUCAUUACUCGUCAUCGCGGGUUGAUUGGAGAAAUGUUUCUGGUGGGAAACAAGUCAAGAUAUACUACAGAAAUGAUCCUGUGAAGUAUGAUCUUAAAGAUGAAAUAAAUUUGCAAGAGAAUAAAUCGAUUAUGCAAAAUGAAACAGCAUUAAUGAUUCUAUUCGUAAAAUUACGUGGUUUUUAUCGUUAACGAGUUCGUCCUAGAAGUGAAUUAUGUGGAAAAGCGCUACACAACGACACGGCGCGUUGUGUUCAUUCAAUACAAACAGCUGAAAUGGCGAAACAACGACGGUAUUUAGAGCACGGCGGAAAUUAAAAGCAGUUUGUUGAGGGUCACUCGCCAAUUUCUUAUAUCGCGCUUCAUCCAAGAAAUACAAUCGAUCGUCAGACAUUAAUACUUCAGCUGGAUGUGUGGCACGCAUCUGUAAUCCUGCUUCUGGGAGGCUUGAUAGUGUGGAUGACUUGAGACGAGGAUUCCUACUUCGUGACCGUGCAUGUUGAUCAGGCGUCCGCACUAAGUUGGGCAUCAACAUGGACCCAUUGAAGGAAUUUAAUGGGUGCAGGUUAGCUAAGGAGGAGCAAAA